AUUGAACGCUGGCGGCAGGCCUAACACAUGCAAGUCGAGCGAACGGCGGACGGGGGAGUAAUGUAUGGGGACUGCCCGAUAGAGGGGGAUAAAUACUGGAAACGGUAGCUAAUACCGAAUACUAUCGGAUAACCCAUAUGGGAUUAGCUAGUAGGUGAGGUAAUGGCUCACCUAGGCGACGAUCCCUAGCUGGUCUGAGAGGAUUAUCAGCCACACUGCGACUUAGACACGGCCCGGACGCCUACGGAGGCAGCAGUGGGGAAUAUUGCACAAUGGGCGCAAGCCUGAUGCAGCCAUGCCGCUUGUAUGAAGAAGGCCCUAGGGUUGUAAAGUACUUUCAGUCUGGAGGCGUUACCGACAGAAGAAGCACCGGCUAACUCCGUGCCAGCAGCCGCGGUAAUUC
rnacentral:rRNA from 1 species